rnacentral:rRNA from 1 species
UACGGAGGGGGCUAGCGUUGUUCGGAAUUACUGGGCGUAAAGCGCACGUAGGCGGUUUCGUAAGUCAGAGGUGAAAGCCUGGAGCUCGACUCCAGAACUGCCUUUGAGACUGCGCGACUUGAAUCCAGGAGAGGUGAGUGGAAUUCCGAGUGUAGAGGUGAAAUUCGUAGAUAUUCGGAAGAACACCAGUGGCGAAGGCGGCUCACUGGACUGGUAUUGACGCUGAGGUGCGAAAGCGUGGGGAGCAAACAGG